AGGAAGCCCCGGCGUGAGACACUUUCGGAUUCCGUGACAACGGCGGGAUUAAACGUUUUUCUUCUCCUUUGCUACUGAACCUAUGCUGUGACUUAGAACAUAAGAAACUCCAAGAGGGUGUAGGGAUUGUCUUAGCUGUCUCCCUCCUCCGCCGGCACCGCUGAAGGCAGCCCCUAUGGAGGGCGCUAAACCUCGGGGCCCUGGGUUUCUAUGACGACAAACAGGCGUUCCAGCAAAGGAGGAAGACUAUGUGGCAGCCUGCAAGUCCCAGUGCGGCGCUGAUUUGUGUCUAAAUUAGCUUUCCGGAGGACUAUUUCAAAUUACUAAAGAGAUAGGAGGCAUUGUUUAUUAUGUCUCUCCCGAAAACGCCCUCCACCCCGCUAAACUCUACAUCAACAUCUGAGAGCAAAAAGUUAAAAGUGUCUGUAGCCAAGGAAGGGACAAGAGGACUUCCUGAGCUAAAGGAGAAAAAAAAUAUGGUGGAUCGUUCAAAACUCCUUCCUACUUCCCUUCAGAAUGAGUUCAUUCCCAAAGAAGUUCUUCUUUCUCUGACCUAUGCGGCCAAUGCUGGUCCUUGUCCUGAAAA
rnacentral:lncRNA from 1 species